UACGUAGGGGGCAAGCGUUGUCCGGAAUCAUUGGGCGUAAAGCGCGUGUAGGCGGCUUGGUAAGUCCGUUCUGAAAGCCCGGGGCUCAACCCCGGGAGGCGGAUGGAUACUGUCAAGCUUGAGUCCGGAAGAGGCGAGUGGAAUUCCCGGUGUAGCGGUGAAAUGCGCAGAUAUCAAGAGGAACACCUGAGGUGAAGACGGGUUGCUGGGCUGACACUGACGCUGAGGCGCGAAAGCCAGGGGAGCAAACGGG
rnacentral:rRNA from 1 species